AGUGAACGCUGGCGGUAGGCCUAACACAUGCAAGUCGAACGGCAGCACAGUAAGAGCUUGCUCUUACGGGUGGCGAGUGGCGGACGGGUGAGGAAUACAUCGGACUCUACUUUUUCGUGGGGGAUAACGUAGGGAAACUUACGCUAAUACCGCAUACGACCUACGGGUGAAAGCAGGGGAUCUUCGGACCUUGCGCGAUUGAAUGAGCCGAUGUCGGAUUAGCUAGUUGGGUGGGUAAAGGCCCACCCAGGCGACGAUCCGUAGCUGGUCUGAGAGGAUGGUCGGCCACACUGGAACGGAGACACGGUCCAGGCUCCUACGGGAGGCAGCAGUGGGGAAUAUUGGACAAUGGGCGCAAGCCUGAUCCAGCCAUACCGCGUGGGUGAAGAAGGCCUUCGGUGUGUAAAGCCCUUUUGUUGGGAAAGAAAAGCAGCAGGUUAAUACCCCGCUGUUCUGACGGUACCCAAAGAAUAAGCACCGGCUAACUUCGUG
rnacentral:rRNA from 1 species